AUACGGAGGAUGCAAGCGUUAUCCGGAUUUAUUGGGUUUAAAGGGUGCGUAGGCGGUUUGCUAAGCGGGAGGUGAAAUGCCGGCGCUCAACGUCGGAAGUGCCUCCCGAACUGGUGGACUUGAAUGACUCUGCCGUGGGAGGAAUGUGUAGUGUAGCGGUGAAAUGCUUAGAGAUUACACAGAACACCGAUUGCGAAGGCAUCUAACGAAGGGUUGAUUGACGCUGAGGCACGAAAGCGUGGGGAUCAAACAGGAUUAGAUGCCCUGGUAGUCCACGCCGUAAACGAUGAAUACUAGGUGUAGGGGGUAUCGACUCCCUCUGUGCCGCAGUUAACACAAUAAGUAUUCCGCCUGGGGAGUACGGCCGCAAGGUUGAAACUCAAAUGAAUUGACGGGG
rnacentral:rRNA from 1 species